CACCCAACACUCACCGCACCACAGAGGAAGAUGAAGGUCGCAAUGCUCAGCGUGGCCCUGCUCUUCACCAUCCUGCUGUGCACUCCGGAAGAUGCUCAGGCAUUCGUGAAAGAAGGUGAAAAUUAUGAGAGAGAGGUGCAGUUUCUCAAAUUCGGGAAAGUGAAGAGAGCUGAGCCCCUUAUGGAUGACAAGCUGAUGGAAUUUGUGCGCCAGAAACGCCUGGCUGCAGCUGUUGAAGUCUAGGACUGAAGAUGCUGGUGGCAGUCUGGACCUGUCUCCCUCCAGUGGCAUGAGGAGAUGAUCAUCCCUGGAUGACCCCACCUGUUCCCCUGUGAGCCCUGGGCCAUUUCCCUCUAACGAUCAAUAAACCCCUUCAGCAAUGCUA